CCCCCACUUGCUGAAGAGGUAGAAAGGGUCCCUACCCUUCCUUUGGGGAUCUGAGCCCUUCUAAAAAUGAAGAGGAUCAAAGUCACCGAUGCCACAGUGCAGAGUACAUUGGAGCAACAGCUGCCCCGUUUGUGCCCUCGUGAAUAACAAUGACAAAUUCCAGAACUAACGAUCCAUAGAGGGGACUGGUCUGGUAGGCUUCCUGACUCCAAAGCAGGUUCUCUAUCACUCUGCCAAGCUCUCUUUCAUGCUAAGUGACUACUAAAUGUGAGACACUGUACUGGGUCCUCAGAGCACAAAGAUACCCAAGACUUGGCUGUGUUCCCAUCUCCCAAAGUCCUGGACAGUUUCAAGCUGCCCAUAGACUCCCGCAGCAGCUUAAACAAAGCUGCUCAUUGCAAGUAUGGAUCUUUUCACUCUUUGCAUCCAUGUCUCCAGUGCCUAUCACAUAAAAGGCAUUUAAUAAAUGCUUAUUAUUUGAUUGAUUCGUGGGUAUUUUCCCCUCUUCCUCUCUUCUCCCACACAAGGCUUUGUCACUGGGAAUAGUCACUUCCCCUGUCACAGAAAGACUUUCCAACAGUCGGACCUUUCUAGAAAUGGAAGGGGCUACCGAUGACAGCUAAAACUAAUGGCAUCCAUUUCCCAGCCCUUGAAAAAAGCUUCCCAUGGGAGCCUCCGGAAACAAAAGCUGGUGUUAGUAUGAUCAUCCCCAUUUCAAACACAGCCAAACAGAAGCCCAGAGAAGUCCCGUAAUUUGCUCACGGUCUCGAGGCUAGUGAGGAAUUACUGGCUUUGUCCUCUCUUGGAGGUCUUCCAACAAAGACUAAAUUUCGUGGAGAGGCUUCAGGGUGCUCAUUGCAAUUUGGACUUGAAAACGACCUCAAGAAAAGAUCUUUUGGGAUGCUUGAUAAUGUUGUAGAAAUGGGAAUUAAGGGCCACCAUUGGCCUUCUGGUAGCUCUCGAGACUCUGAGAUUCUGCAAAGGCAGGGAGGACGGCAGUUUCGUCAUUUAGCGCUCCUCGCCGUGGAAGCGUG
rnacentral:lncRNA from 1 species